rnacentral:rRNA from 1 species
CCUACGGGGGGCAGCAGUGGGGAAUAUUGGACAAUGGGGGGAACCCUGAUCCAGCCAUGCCGCGUGUGUGAAGAAGGCCCUCGGGUUGUAAAGCACUUUCAGUGAGGAAGAACGCCUGGUGGUUAAUACCCAUCAGGAAAGACAUCACUCACAGAAGAAGCACCGGCUAACUCCGUGCCAACAGCCGCGGUAAUACGGAGGGUGCGAGCGUUAAUCGGAAUUACUGGGCGUAAAGCGCGCGUAGGUGGCUUGAUAAGCCGGUUGUGAAAGCCCCGGGCUCAACCUGGGAACGGCAUCCGGAACUGUCAAGCUAGAGUGCAGGAGAGGAAGGUAGAAUUCCCGGUGUAGCGGUGAAAUGCGUAGAGAUCGGGAGGAAUACCAGUGGCGAAGGCGGCCUUCUGGACUGACACUGACACUGAGGUGCGAAAGCGUGGGUAGCAAACAGGAUUAGAUACCCCAGUAGUC